GCCAAAAAUCUAGCCCCCUAAAUCCACAAUGAAAAACAAAUUAUAAGCCUAUAUUAACUAAAACAUUUUAAAAACUUAGUAAAGGAGAUUGAAAAACUACUUAGGAGCUACAAAAUUAGUACCGCAAGGGAAAGAUGAAAUAUAAAUGAAACAAUACUUAAGCACAAAAAAGUAGAGAUUAAAUCUCGUACCUUUUGCAUCAUGGUUUAACUAGUCCAACCAAGCAGAAAGAAUUAAAGUUUGACUUCCCGAAACUAUGCGAGCUACUUCAAGGCAGCUUAUUGAGCUAACCCGUCUCUGUUGCAAAAGAGUGGGAUGACCUUUAAGUAGGGGUGACAGACCUACCGAGCUUAGUGAUAGCUGGUUACUCAAGAAAAGAAUUUAAGUCCAACCUAAAAUUAUACUUAUACUAUUAAAUAAAACCCUAAUUUUAGAGCAAUUCAAAUAAGGUACAGCCUAUUUGAAGCAGGAUACAACCUAACCCAAAGGGUAAUACUAUAAUCUAAUUUAACCAAGUGGGCCUAAAAGCAGCCACCUUUGAAAUAGCGUCAAAGCUUAAUUAUGUCUUUAUAUAAUACCACAAUAAACCUCAGAACCCUUCACUACUAUUGAGUAUUUCUAUACUACUAUAGAACCUUUUAUGUUAAAACUAGUAACAAGAAGAAGAACUUCUCUUACAUGCAAGUGUAUAUCAGCUAGGACAAACCACUGAUAAUCAACGCCUAUGAACAUCUAGUAGUAACAUUACAAGAAAACCCUACUUCUUAUUGCGUUAAUCUAACACAAGAGCAUGAACAGAAAGAUUAAAAGGAAAAGAAGGAACUCGGCAAAUAUUAACCUCGCCUGUUUACCAAAAACAUCGCCUCUUGACUUAAUAUAAGAGGUCCAGCCUGCCCAGUGACUUUGUUUAACGGCCGCGGUAUCCUAACCGUGCGAAGGUAGCGUAAUCACUUGUUCUUUAAAUGAGGACUAGUAUGAAUGGCACCACGAGGGUUAUACUGUCUCCUUUUCCCAAUCAGUGAAACUAAUCUUCCCGUGAAGAAGCGGGAAUACUUUUAUAAGACGAGAAGACCCUAUGGAGCUUUAAACUACGCAACAACUGCUUCCACCUCCUUAACCUCCAGAGUAAUAAAUUUUAUUUUAGCAUUAUGUAUGCUAGUUUUCGGUUGGGGUGAUCGCGGAGCAAAAAACAACCUCCGCAUUGAAAGGAGUUCUACUCCUUAACCUAGAGACACAUCUCUAAGUAUCAAAAAUUUGACAUCCAUUGACCCAAUAUAUUGAUCAACGAACCAAGUUACCCUAGGGAUAACAGCGCAAUCCACUUCAAGAGCUCCUAUCGACAAGUGGGUUUACGACCUCGAUGUUGGAUCAGGGUAUCCCGGUGGUGCAGCCGCUACUAAAGGUUCGUUUGUUCAACGAUUAAAACCCU
rnacentral:rRNA from 1 species